UACGUAGGGUGCGAGCGUUGUCCGGAAUUACUGGGCGUAAAGCGCACGUAGGCGGCUUUGUAAGUUAGAGGUGAAAGCCCGGAGCUCAACUCCGGAACUGCCUUUAAGACUGCAUCGCUUGAAUCCAGGAGAGGUGAGUGGAAUUCCGAGUGUAGAGGUGAAAUUCGUAGAUAUUCGGAAGAACACCAGUGGCGAAGGCGGCUCACUGGACUGGUAUUGACGCUGAGGUGCGAAAGCGUGGGGAGCAAACAGG
rnacentral:rRNA from 1 species